rnacentral:rRNA from 1 species
AGUUUGAUCAUGGCUCAGAUUGAACGCUGGCGGAAUGCUUUACACAUGCAAGUCGAACGGCAGCACGGGUGCUUGCACCUGGUGGCGAGUGGCGAACGGGUGAGUAAUGCACCGGAACGUAUCCAAUAAUGGGGGAUAACGCACCGAAAGGUGUGCUAAUACCGCAUACGCCCUGAGGGGGAAAGCGAGGGAUCGUAAGACCUCGCGUUAAUGGAGCGGCCGAUGCCGGAUUAGCUAGUUGGUGAGGUAAAGGCUCACCAAGGCGACGAUCCGUAGCUGGUCUGAGAGGACGACCAGCCACACUGGAACUGAGACACGGUCCAGACUCCUACGGGAGGCAGCAGUGGGGAAUUUUGGACAAUGGGCGCAAGCCUGAUCCAGCCAUUCCGCGUGAGUGAAGAAGGCCUUCGGGUUGUAAAGCUCUUUCGCAAGGAAAGAAAACUUAUCUCCUAAUACGAGGUGAGGUUGACGGUACCUUGAUAAGAAGCACCGGCUAACUACGUG